UGGACUCCCACCAAAAACCACAUGAACUUGGGAGCAGCUUCUUCCUCAGUUGAACCAUCCGAUGAGACCCCACUCCUGGCUGACAUCUUGAUUGCAGUCUCAUGAAAGGCUCCUGAAGCUGAAGAUCCAGCUAAGCUGUUUUGGGAUUCCUGAUCCAAGAAACUAGGAACAACCACAGCUGCCCACACAAAUACUCUGGACUCUUGGCUAGAGCUAUCACCAACCUCGGCUGGCAAAUUUUUACACCCCAAAAUAAUCCUGGGCAAGCCGCACUGUGAAAAAUGCCUUUCUUCCUUAAGGGGGCUGCUUCACAACAUGACAGGUGACUUCUCACCGGACAAGCAAUCUAAGAGGAAGCAGCUGGAUCUCCAGGAGCCAUUUUGGACCAUGAAGAUGGGGAGCAGGUCACACUUUAGGUUUGGGGAGCAGGGAGCUAGGAAGAGCCUGCGUCCCUGAGGAACACGAAGCUGCAAUACCAGCCCUGGACAUCUCAC